AUGAACGCUAGCUACAGGCUUAACACAUGCAAGUCGAGGGGCAGCAUGGUCUUAGCUUGCUAAGGCCGAUGGCGACCGGCGCACGGGUGAGUAACACGUAUCCAACCUGCCGUCUACUCUUGGACAGCCUUCUGAAAGGAAGAUUAAUACAAGAUGGCAUCAUGAGUCCGCAUGUUCACAUGAUUAAAGGUAUUCCGGUAGACGAUGGGGAUGCGUUCCAUUAGAUAGUAGGCGGGGUAACGGCCCACCUAGUCUUCGAUGGAUAGGGGUUCUGAGAGGAAGGUCCCCCACAUUGGAACUGAGACACGGUCCAAACUCCUACGGGAGGCAGCAGUGAGGAAUAUUGGUCAAUGGGCGAGAGCCUGAACCAGCCAAGUAGCGUGAAGGAUGACUGCCCUAUGGGUUGUAAACUUCUUUUAUAAAGGAAUAAAGUCGGGUAUGGAUACCCGUUUGCAUGUACUUUAUGAAUAAGGAUCGGCUAACUCCGUGCCAGCAGCCGCGGUAAUACGGAGGAUCCGAGCGUUAUCCGGAUUUAUUGGGUUUAAAGGGAGCGUAGAUGGAUGUUUAAGUCAGUUGUGAAAGUUUGCGGCUCAACCGUAAAAUUGCAGUUGAUACUGGAUAUCUUGAGUGCAGUUGAGGCAGGCGGAAUUCGUGGUGUAGCGGUGAAAUGCUUAGAUAUCACGAAGAACUCCGAUUGCGAAGGCAGCCUGCUAAGCUGCAACUGACAUUGAGGCUCGAAAGUGUGGGUAUCAAACAGGAUUAGAUACCCUGGUAGUCCACACGGUAAACGAUGAAUACUCGCUGUUUGCGAUAUACUGCAAGCGGCCAAGCGAAAGCGUUAAGUAUUCCACCUGGGGAGUACGCCGGCAACGGUGAAACUCAAAGGAAUUGACGGGGGCCCGCACAAGCAGUGGAGUAUGUGGUUUAAUUCGAAGCAACGCGAAGAACCUUACCAGGUCUUGACAUCGAGUGACGAAUCUAGAGAUAGAUUUUUCCUUCGGGACACAAAGACAGGUGGUGCAUGGUUGUCGUCAGCUCGUGCCGUGAGGUGUCGGCUUAAGUGCCAUAACGAGCGCAACCCUUGUUGUCAGUUACUAACAGGUUCCGCUGAGGACUCUGACAAGACUGCCAUCGUAAGAUGUGAGGAAGGUGGGGAUGACGUCAAAUCAGCACGGCCCUUACGUCCGGGGCUACACACGUGUUACAAUGGGGGGUACAGAGGGCCGCUACCACGCGAGUGGAUGCCAAUCCCCAAAACCUCUCUCAGUUCGGACUGGAGUCUGCAACCCGACUCCACGAAGCUGGAUUCGCUAGUAAUCGCGCAUCAGCCACGGCGCGGUGAAUACGUUCCCGGGCCUUGUACACACCGCCCGUCAAGCCAUGGGAGCCGGGGGUACCUGAAGUGCGUAACCGCGAGGAGCGCCCUAGGGUAAAACUGGUGACUGGGGCU
rnacentral:rRNA from 1 species